UACGUAGGGCGCAAGCGUUGUCCGGAAUUAUUGGGCGUAAAGAGCUCGUAGGCGGUUUGUCGCGUCUGCUGUGAAAUCCCGAGGCUCAACCUCGGGCUUGCAGUGGGUACGGGCAGACUAGAGUGCGGUAGGGGAGACUGGAAUUCCCGGUGUAGCGGUGAAAUGCGCAGAUAUCGGGAGGAACACCGGUGGCGAAGGCGGUUCUCUGGGCCUUACCUGACGCUGAGGAGCGAAAGCAUGGGGAGCGAACAGG
rnacentral:rRNA from 1 species